GAUGAACGCUGGCGGCGUGCCUAAUACAUGCAAGUCGAGCGAACGGACGAGAAGCUUGCUUCUCUGAUGGUAGCGGCGGACGGGUGAGUAACACGUGGAUAACCUACCUAUAAGACUGGGAUAACUUCGGGAAACCGGAGCUAAGACCGGAUGAUAUUUUGAACCGCAUGGUUCAAAAGUGAAAGACGGUCUUGCUGUCACUUAUAGAUGGAUCCGCGCUGCAUUAGCUAGUGGGUAAGGUAACGGCUUACCAAGGCAACGAUGCAUAGCCGACCUGAGAGCGUGAUCCGACAGCCUGGAUCUGAGAAACGGCCGCGACUCCUACGGGAGGCCGCAGUAGGGAAUCUUCCGCGAUGCGGCAGAGCCUGACGGAGCACCGUCGCGUGAGUGAUGAAGUUCUCAUGAUCGUUAAGCUCUGUUAUUAGUGAAGAACAAAUGUGUAAGUAACUGUGCACAUAUUGACGGUACCUACUCAGAAAGCCACGGCUAACUCCGUG
rnacentral:rRNA from 1 species